rnacentral:rRNA from 1 species
AAACUAACAAGGAUUCCCUUAGUAACGGCGAGUGAACCGGGAAGAGCUCAAAUUUAAAAUCUGGCGUCUUUCAGGCGUCCGAGUUGUAAUCUACAGAGGUGUUUUCCGCGCCGGACCGCAUCCAAGUCCCUUGGAACAGGGUAUCAAAGAGGGUGAUAAUCCCGUGCUUGAUGCGAUAACCAGUGCUAUGUGAUACACUCUCAAUGAGUCGAGUUGUUUGGGAAUGCAGCUCCAAAUGGGUGGUAAAUUCCAUCUAAAGCUAAAUAUUGGUGGAAGACCGAUAGCGAACAAGUACCGUGAGGGAAAGAUGAAAAGCACUUUGGAAAGAGAGUUAAACAGUACGUGAAAUUGUUGAAAGGGAAACGAUUGAAGUCAGUCGUGUGAAUGGUAUUCAGCUGUCUUCUGGCAGUGUAUUUGCCUUUCACGGGUCAACAUCAGUUUGGACCGACAGAAAAAGGUGGAAGGAAGGUGGCAUGCUUGCAUGUGUUAUAGCCUUCUACUGCAUAUGUCGGUUCAGACUGAGGAAUGCAGCUCGCAGUAAUGCCGGGGUUCGCCCACGUUCGAGCUUAGGAUGUUGACAUAAUGGCUUUAAACGAC